CAGGGCCUACGGGAGGCAGCAGUGAGGAAUAUUGGUCAAUGGGCUAAGGCCUGAACCAGCCACGUCGCGUGAGGGAAGACGGUCCUAUAGAUUGUAAACCUCUUUUGUCGGGGAGCAACGAGGCCACGUGUGGCCGAAGUGAGAGUACCCGAAGAAAUAGCAUCGGCUAACUCCGUGCCAGCAGCCGCGGUAAUACGGAGGAUGCGAGCGUUAUCCGGAUUUAUUGGGUUUAAGGGGUGCGUAGGCGGAACAUUAAGUCAGCGGUAAAAUCGAGGGGCUCAACCCCUUUAAGCCGUUGAAACUGG
rnacentral:rRNA from 1 species